AGAUGAUGAUGCAGGUGAUGAUCACAUGGAAAAGGAAUGUCUACGCGUUUUGUCUCUUAACGGAGCCUUUAUCAAGACUCAGUCUACGCGUUUCAUCUCUUAGCUGAGACUUUAUCAAGACUUGAUAUAGUCUCAGCUAAGAGACGAAACACGUAGACGUUCCUUUUCCACGUGAUCAUCACCUGCAUCA